rnacentral:lncRNA from 1 species
CUCGGUCUCCCGGUUCUCACUGCGAGACCAGCACGCGGGAGCCGUGGCUCGCAACCCCUGGAGUUGUAGGCCCAGGCGUUUCAGCCUCCGCAGCUCAGCUGUGGGAAGGAAGGGGCACAGCGUGGAGGGCGGACUGGCCGGUGUCCUCGCGGCCAGGUCGAGCUGGGGCCCCGGGAGGAGGCGGGAAGCCCGACUGCUCGCCGCCUCUCGCUGCCCAGGGUCGAUGCCAGGCUCUGGCCCGGGGGCCCGCAGCUCCCAGCCUUUCUCGGCCACGACUGCAGGUCCCUGGGCCAUGGCUGGAUACGCAGAAGUUCACAGGAGCAGGUGGAGUUGGGGCAGUUGGCCCAAGAGGUGCAUCAUUAAAAUCAAGAUGCCUCCACCACAGUGUCUCCAAGAAUAAACUGGAUGAGAGAUCUGGUGGGGACCAUCACUAAAGGACAAAUGAUAGCAAACUCCCAGCUAUUAGGCCAUCCAUCACUGCAAGGGUGAUUCGUGUCUUCUUCUGAAGCAGUCGGGGAUUUGAACGCCGCUUUUACUAAAAAUCAACAACAGCAACAAACAGUGGCCUCCACUGGGCCUGCAGCUGUCCAGAGGAGCUGCACACAAGGAGGACUCCAAAGCAAGAUACUGAGAGAUUCACCACCAGCGCCAGCCCCUGGAGCAGAGGCCUAAACAUCUCCAGUCUUUGCCUGAACCUGCUGUCACCAUGGAUUCCAGCAGAGCCUCCUCAGAGUGGAGACAGCCCCGGAAGACACAGCCACCUCACAGAGACCAAGCUGUCCCCACAGUGAGAAGGAUUUCACUGGAGCUGCAAACCAGACCGAGGCAGUGAUCAGCAGGCCCUGGCCUGCUCAGCACCCCUCUGUGGCGGGCUGCUCCUCUUCGGACAGGCCAGCCUGGCUUCCUUUGUCAGGAGCUGAAGUCCUCCCUCUGUUUGCUCUCACUCUCCUUUGUCAAGGGACCAUCUCAUCCUUGACUUUUCUCCCCCUCAAGCCAAAGUCCCUUCUUAUUCUCUGUAACUUUCCAAUUAAAGCUUGGCUGUAAAUCCCUGGUGUUGCCUCAGUGUUAAUUUCCAUGCUCACUGAAGGAGGACCCACACUAGCCAGCGACCUC